rnacentral:rRNA from 1 species
GACGAACGCUGGCGGCGUGCUUAACACAUGCAAGUCGAACGAAGAGCGAUGGAAGCUUGCUUCUAUCAAUCUUAGUGGCGAACGGGUGAGUAACGCGUAAUCAACCUGCCCUUCAGAGGGGGACAACAGUUGGAAGCGACUGCUAAUACCGCAUACGAUCUGACCUCGGCAUCGAGGAUAGAUGAAAGGUGGCCUCUACAUGUAAGCUAUCACUGAAGGAGGGGAUUGCGUCUGAUUAGCUAGUUGGAGGGGUAACGGCCCACCAAGGCGAUGAUCAGUAGCCGGUCUGAGAGGAUGAACGGCCACAUUGGGACUGAGACACGGCCCAGACUCCUACGGGAGGCAGCAGUGGGGAAUCUUCCGCAAUGGACGAAAGUCUGACGGAGCAACGCCGCGUGAGUGAUGACGGCCUUCGGGUUGUAAAGCUCUGUUAAUCGGGACGAAAGGCCUUUUUGCGAAUAGUGAGAAGGAUUGACGGUACCGGAAUAGAAAGCCACGGCUAACUACGUG